CGCCAUGACAGUUUACAAAUGCCAUGGCAAUAUCAGAAAGUUACCCUAUAUGGUCUAAAAAGGGGAGGCAUGAAUAAUCCACUGUUGUUUAGCAUAUCAUCAAGAAAUAACUAUAAAAAUAGGCAACCAGCAGCUCCCGGGGCUGCUCUGUCUGUGGAGUAGCCAUUCUUUUAUUCCUUUGGCUAAAUGCUUUAAGGUCAUGAACUGCUUCUUUAACUUUUAAAAAUUGUUUAAUUUACCUACCUUAAAGCCAUUAAAUGCUAGAUAAGGCCUGGGGACAUGUGGAACUAGCCAUGCCCCCUAGCUAUACAAAGAAGAUUACAAAGAAAGACAUUUUAU
rnacentral:lncRNA from 1 species